UGUCACCUACGGGAGGCAGCAGUGAGGAAUAUUGGUCAAUGGUCGGGAGACUGAACCAGCCAAGCCGCGUGAGUGAAGAAGUAUUUCGGUACGUAAAGCUCUAUCAGCAGGGAAGAAAAAAGGACGGUACCUGAGUAAGAAGCCCCGGCUAACUACGUGCCAGCAGCCGCGAUAAUACGUAGGGGGCAAGCGUUAUCCGGAAUUACUGGGUGUAAAGGGAGCGUAGACGGCAAUGCAAGUCCGGAGUGGAAUGCGGCAGCUCAACUGCCGAACUGCUCUGGAAACUGUAUGGCUUGAGUGCAGGG
rnacentral:rRNA from 1 species